rnacentral:rRNA from 1 species
CACGUAGGGCGCAAGCGUUGUCCGGAAUUAUUGGGCGUAAAGAGCUCGUAGGCGGUCUGUUGCGUCCGCUGUGAAAACUCGGGGCUUAACCCCGAGCCUGCAGUGGAUACGGGCAGACUAGAGGUAGGUAGGGGAGAAUGGAAUUCCUGGUGUAGCGGUGGAAUGCGCAGAUAUCAGGAGGAACACCGAUGGCGAAGGCGGCAUCCUGGACCGGCAUUGACGCUGAGGCGCGAAAGCCAGGGGAGCAAACGGG